rnacentral:rRNA from 1 species
UACGUAGGUGGCGAGCGUUGUCCGGAAUUACUGGGUGUAAAGGGAGUGCAGGCGGGACUGCAAGUCAGAAGUGAAAAUUAUGGGCUUAACCCAUAACCUGCUUUUGAAACUGUAGUUCUUGAGUGAGGCAGAGGCAAGCGGAAUUCCUAGUGUAGCGGUGAAAUGCGUAGAUAUUAGGAGGAACACCAGUGGCGAAGGCGGCUUGCUGGGCCUUUACUGACGCUGAGGCUCGAAAGCGUGGGGAGCAAACAGG